rnacentral:rRNA from 1 species
GACGAACGCUGGCGGCGUGCUUAACACAUGCAAGUCGAACGAAGAGCGAUGGAAGCUUGCUUCUAUCAAUCUUAGUGGCGAACGGGUGAGUAACGCGUAAUCAACCUGCCCUUCAGAGGGGGACAACAGUUGGAAACGACUGCUAAUACCGCAUACGAUCUAAUCUCGGCAUCGAGGAAAGAUGAAAGGUGGCCUCUAUUUAUAAGCUAUCACUGAAGGAGGGGACUGCGUCUGAUUAGCUAGUUGGAGGGGUAACGGCCCACCAAGGCGAUGAUCAGUAUCCGGUCUGAGAGGAUGAACGGCCACAUUGGGACUGAGACACGGCCCAGACUCCUACGGGAGGCAGCAGUGGGGAAUCUUCCGCAAUGGACGAAAGUCUGACGGAGCAACGCCGCGUGAGUGAUGACGGCCUUCGGGUUGUAAAGCUCUGUUAAUCGGGACGAAAGGCCUUCUUGCGAACAGUUAGAAGGAUUGACGGUACCGGAAUAGAAAGCCACGGCUAACUACGUG